GUGGGGGAUAUUGGACAAUGGGGGGAACCCUGAUCCAGCGACGCCGCGUGAGUGAAGAAGUAUCUCGGUAUGUAAAGCUCUAUCAGCAGGGAAGAAAGAAAUGACGGUACCUGAGUACGAAGCCCCGGCUAACUACGUGCCAGCAGCCGCGGUAAUACGUAGGGGGCAAGCGUUAUCCGGAAUUACUGGGUGUAAAGGGAGCGUAGACGGUGUGGUAAGUCUGGAGUGAAAGGCGGGGGCCCAACCCCCGGACUGCUCUGGAAACUAUCAGACUGGAGUGCAGGAGAGGCAGGCGGAAUUCCUGGUGUAGCGGUGAAAUGCGUAGAUAUCAGGAGGAACAUCGGUGGCGAAGGCGGCCUGCUGGACUGUAACUGACGUUGAGGCUCGAAAGCGUGGGGAGCAAACAGG
rnacentral:rRNA from 1 species